rnacentral:rRNA from 1 species
UACGUAGGGUGCAAGCGUUGUCCGGAAUUAUUGGGCGUAAAGAGCUCGUAGGCGGUUUGUCGCGUCUGCUGUGAAACCCGAGGCUCAACCUCGGGCCUGCAGUGGGUACGGGCAGACUAGAGUGCGGUAGGGGAGAUUGGAAUUCCUGGUGUAGCGGUGGAAUGCGCAGAUAUCAGGAGGAACACCGAUGGACGAAGGCAGAGCUCGGGCCGUAACUGACGCUAGGAGCGAAAGCAUGGGGAGCGAACAGG